CAAUAGCGUAUAUUAAAGUUGUUGCAGUUAAAAAGCUCGUAGUUGGAUUUCUGGUGGGAGCGAUCGGUCUGGCGCUUAGCGCGAGUACUUGCAUCGUCUCCGGCCAUCCUUGGGGAGAGUCUGUCUGGCAUUAGGUUGUCGGGCAGAGGAUCCUCAUCGUUUACUGUGAAAAAAUUAGAGUGUUCAAAGCAGGCUUAUGCCGUUGAAUAUAUUAGCAUGGAAUAAUAAGAUAGGACUUUGGUACUAUUUUGUUGGUUUGCGCACCAAAGUAAUGAUUAAUAGGGACAAUUGGGGGUAUUCGUAUUCCGUUGUCAGAGGUGAAAUUCUUGGAUUUACGGAAGACGAACUACUGCGAAAGCAUUUACCAAGGAUGUUUUCAUUAA
rnacentral:rRNA from 1 species